GUCUACGGCCAUACCACCCUGAACGCACGAGAUCUCAUCUGAUCUCGGAAGCUAAGCCAGGUUGGACCUGGUUAGUCCUUGGAUGAGAGAUCGCCUGGGAAUACCGGGUGCUGUGGACU
ensembl:rRNA 5S_rRNA 5S ribosomal RNA